UGAUGGUCUCUGUAUUUAUAUUUAAGAAAUAAUUUUUUAAUAUAAAGUAUUUAUUUUUUAAAACUGAUUAAUUUUUCGUUUAUUGAUGGUCACUUUUUUUCCACCUCUUCUUCCAGAAAAUUUGGUCUGUAGGGACUCUUUACCCUUCUCCAGACCGAUAUGGAUUCAAAGUAUAUCAUCUAUUUACAUGUAAAAAUUAAAAUUUCAAAGAGGUGGCAGCCCCUACCAGUCUCCUUAGGUCCGCGUGCAAGCUUGAAAUUGCUAUUAGUAGAAUGUUGUAUCUCUGGUCUUCUUCGGUUCAAAAUCUAUCCCACGAGUCCAACUUUCUCCAUUACCAUAGACUUGUUUUUCUCCUUGUAUUGAACACAUGUGAAAUGCAGCCAAGGAAGCAUAAGCUCUUUCUCAGCAAUCACACAUUCUUCACUACAGCAAAGAUGUCAACACCUUUAAUGGCUGGUGGACAACUACUACAGUAGCUUUAUUCACUGUAACUUCAUCUAAUGCAUCAUGUACUGCACUGCGCUUGUCUCCUUAUCCAGCCCAAGCAUUUCUGGAUUGUUUACUCAUCCUCAGCCUUUGCCCACCAGACACUUGCAGUGCUCAUCCUCUUGCAGAGGUAUUAUUGCAUGAAUGGUUACUCUCAACCACCAAAGUAACUGUCUGCAGACAGAUCCAAUCUUGGUGAAUGAAUCAUAAGAGAGUAGAUGAUAAUUAAAAAGCCUAGCUCACUUUUUCCUUUAGAAUAAGCUAAGCUUCAUGAUAUAGCAUACAUCUAUUCAUGGGAAGAUUAUGAAAACAUUCGGUUUAAGGUAAUGACAGGUACCUUUCCACAGGAGAUAUCAAGGGACAAGAAGGCUUUGAAAAUUUCAAACUGACAUGUUCAAGCUCAAAUUUCACCCAUUAUACGUACAAAUGUAGUGCUUUUAUUAGUAGUGUUAACAAAAUUAAUAGGUUUAUUUAAAUUUUAUUUUUUAAAAAAUAAUAUAAUCGUGGUGGUCAAAAAGAUGAUUUGUGAAGAAGGAAAAAUUGAAGAAAGAGCAACUUCUUAAAGACGGAAUCCGUAUGAUAAUAUUAAAAUAAUAGUGAAAUAUAAAAUUUAAUUUUUUAAUUUGCAUUGAUCUUCCUAGAGAAAGGGCUUCGUGUGGUAGACGCGCGAGGGAAGAUAACAAGAGGAGAAAGAAAGGGAAAGGCGGGGUUGUUUCAUAUUCAAACAGACAACGAAAGACCUCGGAUACGGUAAAAAGCCCCCACCACCCCGUUGUCCCAAAACCUCCUAGCUGCUCUGCCUGCCUCGAUCUUCGUGCAAUUUUUAAGCCCUGCCCCACUUCCCCUCUAUCUGCACAAAACCCAUUCUCCUCUCCGCUUUCCCUAAACCCAAAUCGUUCCUUCUCUUUGAGUUUGAGAUCCGACCUCUUCCUUUCUCUCCCUCUCUCUGCAGAACCAGGGUCUACACACUUCAGGAUGUGCGUUCCGAUUCAUCUCCAAGCUCUCGCUUCUCAUGGUUUUCCUCUCAUGCUUGUGCAGUUCAUUGAGAGUCGGUUUCUCCCCAAAAGGUUCGAAGGCAGUAGUGAAGCAGCUGAAGGUCAUCAUCUCUUUGAACAUUGAACAUGGCAUAUUUACUUGCUUUUAAGGUCUGCAGAAUUUAUGCAUUGAUAUAAUUGAGAUAUGGAAUAGGGAAUGAAGCCAUCGGUCCGUGUAGCAUAGGGUAGUUUGUCAGUUCCUUGUAAAUUUUUUAGCUGAUACAAACAAUGUUUUAUUGUUAUUAUAUUAUUAUCCUUUGAUUUUUUAUAUGCCAUUAUCUAUUUAAACA